AUUGAACGCUGGCGGCAGGCCUAACACAUGCAAGUCGAGCGGAGCGGCGGACGGGUGAUUAAUGCCUAGUAAUUUGCCUGGUAGUGGCGGAUAACGUCCGGGAACGGGCGCUCAUACCGCAUACUAUCAGAUGAGCCUAGGUCGGCUUAGCUAGAUGGUGGGGUAAAGGCAUACCAAGGCGACGAUCCGUAACUGGACUGAGAGGAUGAUCAGUCACACUGGAACUGAGACACGGUCCAGACUCCUACGGGAGGCAGCAGUGGGGAAUAUUGGACAAUGGGCGAAAGCCUGACCCAGCCAGGCCGCGGGAGUGAAGAAGGUCUUCGGAUUGUAAAGCACUUUAAGUUGGGAGGCGUUACCAACAGAAUAAGCACCGGCUAACUUCGUGCCAGCAGCCGCGGUAAUUC
rnacentral:rRNA from 1 species